GGGGGUGUAGCUCAGGGGUAGAGUGUUCGCUUCGCAUGCGAAAUGUCUAGGGUUCAAAUCCCUACUCCUCCA
rfam:Ectocarpus siliculosus strain Ec 32, whole genome shotgun sequence assembly, chromosome LG16